GCCUGGAUAGCUCAGUCGGUAGAGCAUCACGCUUUUAAUGUGAGGGUCCAGGGUUCAAGUCCCUGUUUGGGCG
rnacentral:tRNA from 1 species